ensembl:misc_RNA Metazoa_SRP Metazoan signal recognition particle RNA
GCCGGGUGUGGCAGUACACGCCUGUAGUCUCAGCUACUCAGGAGGCUGAGGUUGGAGAAUCGCUUGAGCCCAGGAGUUCAAGACUGCAGUGAGCCAAGAUUGUGCCACUGCACUCCAGCCUGGGUGACAGAGUGAGAUCCUGUCUCAA